AAGGAGUUCGCCGAAAAUCCUUUGAAGAGUAGGCA
rnacentral:ncRNA from 1 species